AUUGAACGCUGGCGGCAUGCUUUACACAUGCAAGUCGAACGGCAGCGCGGGCUUCGGCCUGGCGGCGAGUGGCGAACGGGUGAGUAAUGCAUCGGAACGUGCCCAGUCGUGGGGGAUAGCCCGGCGAAAGCCGGAUUAAUACCCCAUACGACCUGAUGGUGAAAGCGGGGGACCGCAAGGCCUCUCGCCAUUGGAGUGGCCGAGGACGGAGUAGCUAGUUGGUGGGGUAAAGGCUUACCAAGGCGACGAUCCGAAGCUGGUCUGAGAGGACGACCAGCCACACGGGGACUGAGAAACGGCACAGACUCCGACGGGAGGCAGCAGUGGGGAAUUUUGGACAAUGGGGGCAAGCCUGAUCCAGCCAUGCCGCGUGCGGGAAGAAGGCCUUCGGGUUGUAAACCGCUUUUGUUCGGAAAGAAAUAAAGUGGGCUAAUACCCCGGGGGGAUGACGGUACCGGAAGAAUAAGCACCGGCUAACUACGUG
rnacentral:rRNA from 1 species